AAGUUAACACAUUAAGUUAAGCUCAUCUCAGGCCUUUUCUGAAGGCUGGCCUGGGACCUGUCAUUUGGGUCUUGCUAAUAGGAAAAUUAGUUAAAAUGGCAGUUAAAAGCUGUGAUGCAAAUGAAUCAAGUCCUAACAUAAAGCUACUCCAGUGGAAUGUUUAAUUUAAAUCAGCCAUAGGAUUAGCUCACUUUGUUUCCAAUGACAUUUGUAUAUUUCAGCAGAGGAAGUGCUUAUAAUGUACAAUCAUUUUUAUUUUAAAAUUUAAAGCCCAUAAAAAGUAAAUGACUGGCAGCAGGAAAAGAGGACACAAUACAAACCUCCUGUCCCACCAGUAACCUCUAUCAUGAGUUACAACUACUACCUUCUGUAGAUGUCAGAGAGAGUUUAUUCUUCAUGGUCUUUCAUUCCAAAGCAGUGACCAAAUACAUAUGCAGAAUGAAGGGGGAAAACAUGAGUGGCUGUGUAACAGGCAUUGAAAUCUGAAAGCCCCUGAGCCAGCUGAAACCAGCAAUAAUGCCAUUCUGGUAAGAUCUAACUCAUUCUUCAAUGUAUAACAGGUUUAUGGAAAGAACCUUGGCUUUGUUAAAGCAAGAAAAGCACAGUUCUAUCACAGUCAAUAAAUUUUAAAAUUAUGUUUUCUUGAAAAAAUAAAACAAUUUUUCAAUAUAACUCAGAUUUUUCAGAAAAACAUAUAUUGAAAAUAAAGUAGUUUUGGCUACUUAACAUUAUGAGCAACGAUUUCUGAUCAACAGUGUGUCAGGUUUCUUCCUGUUUCCUAAAUAUAACCGCGAACAUGUGCAAGCACAGCUGGCUCCUGACAGAAAACUGAGCAGGUCCUACAUCAAGCUGAGAAGGCAGACAGCAUCAGGAAGGACACAACAACCUAGCCAAGCUAACAGAAAGGACUAAUGUACACGCAGCCACAGAACACAUCAGUGCUUUCAUCAAAACCAGGAACCAUAACCAUGGCUAUGCAAAAACUUCAUAUCCAUGAUAACUAAAAUAUGCUUUCUUUUUUCUUAGAGUUGAGAAUCUUUAAAAAGUUUAAAACUUUUUAUCAGCCUUGAAACUUUAAGCAAUGAAUACGGAACUGCAUAAUCGCUAGAUGUCAAUGCUUUUCUUUCAUGAGAAGGUUUUGAAUUAGAUAAAUUUGAUACAAAUAAACAUAUCAAAUAGAGCUGUAAAUUUCCUUACCAGCAAGGAUGACUACUGAAAUAUGCACUAGAACAAACUCACAAUAUUUCCCACCAGACUUCAAAAACCACAGAGCUGCCUCCAUUCUCAGGUCAGUACAAAGGCUUUAGCUGUCCUUAAGCUUCUGCAGCUAACUCCAGGUCCUCUCACAUAAUUUAGAGACACUAAAAACAUUAAGUUAUAUAACACUUUCUGCUGAACAGCUUCAGUUUGCCUCCUAGCACAGGAUGCAACCCACAGGAAAAGGUCAGUAGCAAGACCGCAGUGAACUACAACAAAACAGAAUUCCAUUAUUUCACCCUUUUUUGUUCUAGAAGUCCAGCAUGAGAGUCACUUAUUCCUUUUCUGUAGGUCCUUCCCCACAAUUAUCAAGAAACAAACAAAGACAUGGAUUUUACUUUAUUCAAUCAUUACCUAUCAAUUUUGUAAGUACCAAUUUAGGGGAUUAGGCUAUACCACACCUGUUUAGCACUAGAAGCAUCAGUUUGCUUAAAGCAUACAAAUAGACACUUUUUUCUUUUUUUAAUUUGGGCAGGAGCAGGUAUGGAAACAUUACAUCCAAAUAGAAAUAAGAAUGUUAGGGUAUAAUGUAGAACCAAGGCAUUUUGAUUUCAAAGUAGACUUGGACAGAAAAAUCUGGCUUGCUUUUAUGGAGCACUCUAAGUAUAAAGAAAAAAAAAAUCAAGUAAUUAAAUUAUACCAUGGCAGCCGAAUGUGCAUUUCAUUCAGCUUCAACUGGAGAUGGCUAAACAUACUCUCCCACUCUGUUCCUUUCUUACUGGAAAGAAAACAUCUCGGCCUCAUUGGAUUUCUUCUGUGAUUCUCUCUCAUCUAGAUUUACUUAAUUAUCCCUUAACCUCUUAUCAGAAACAGCUCAGUCAUUCCUAUGGAAGGAAUUCUCCAUUAUUUGCCAUUUCUCUGUAUAGGUGAUCAUUUAUGUAAUUUAUGUGAUCAUCUCAGCCCUAUCCAGAUUGUUCUGUAUUUUUUGCCUUUAUAAAGAAAAUGUCACCCAUUUGUUGGAAAAAUAGAGGGCAGAAAACAUACAUCCAUUAUCUGAACAAAUAUCUUUCUGAGAGGAUAUUGGAAUACCACUAUUACAACACAACUGAUGCAGUAGGCAUUUGUUUCACGGUUGUCAAGAUCUAGUGGUGUAGGUCCAUGUCUUAAUCUUCUUCCACAAUUGCUUACAAGCUACCUUACCUUCCCACUUUGAAGACAGACACUUGCACCUAAUACCAUCCCAUUCAAACUCUGAAUUGCACAAAUAGUAACUUUCUUGCCAUUAUUAGGAUCAGUAUAGAGCUUGAGUCACACAAGCCUUUAGCAGAGCUCUCUGAGUUAGAUCAGGCGCAUGAAUAAUUCCUCAAUCACCACACACUUGCAGAAAGAAGUUAUUAUCAGGCAGGAAUAACAUCUAUGAAGCACACAAUAGCUGAUAAUUUUCACAUAAUAAUAGUUCUUCUAUUGCCAGCACAUCUUGGCUGGCAUCUAUGGGAAAGGGAAAAUAUUCUUUAACAUCAGGAUAUUCCAGUGCAGGACUGUAAUACAAAACACAGUUGCUCUGAACACACAUCUGGUGCCAGAAAGUGAAAAGCCUUCCAAAGUCUUGGUAUGAAAAAAAGUGUAGGAUUAUUCUAAAAAUGGGGAAAUAAACUAUUCUGGUUUUCUACAGAAAUUAUUCAAUUUUGCUUAAUGUUUCACUUUUUUCUCUAGGAUUGCUACUGACAAAUAACCCUAAAACCCUGUUGAACUUAAUAAAUAAAGAACAAAAUGAAAAGGUUUGUGUGAGAAAAAGAGGAGGGUACAAAACCAGAUAUCUUUACUCAGCAAAAGUCAGGAAGCAGUCCAUGCUGACUUCCAGCUGCUCUAAUUUUGAAUUAUGUGUCACUCAGAGCACUGAUUUAUUGGGACUAGAUUUAUUGCAAGCAACUAUCGGAGACUGUAUUUUCCACUUCAAAUACGGGCCCAAACAUUUACAAGAACACACAGUCUACACAACUGUUUAUUCAUCCACUUUUUUCAACAUGCCAUAAUAAAAGUGCUCUAUUGUUACUUCCAGAGUCAUAACAUUUUCUGUUAAACUUGCAAAAACAGACAGCUUCAGGCUGUAGACAAAAAACCCAGAACUCCUUGUUGAUUUACCUGACUUUCCUAUCCAAGUUCAUGAGAAAAAAAAGUCACAGGCCAAAGGAACAUCUAAUCAAAUACUAAAUUAUCUUUUCUCAGAAUGAACAAAAUGACUGAAAAAAGUAAAUAAAUAAAGCAUAUUUUCCCUGAAUACUCCACCAUUCCCCAGAUAACUUGUAACUUGGUGAGUUCCUGAGCCAGAGGGAACCGUUUUUGCCUUUGAUUUUUCUUGAGUGAGCUUAGUCAGCCCAUCAUUCGAACUACACAAUUUUUUAUAAUAAAGCCAGCAUACAAUUAGCUCACAGGAUGAGGCACAACAAAUCACAAUUUUCUACUGGUAAGUUUUUAGUUUUGGUUUUUUUUUUAACUUUGGUACAGAUACAAGUAUUACUAUUGCUAGAUUUCAUGUUACUUAGAACCAGUUGUAUAACUUUUUAUUACAAAAGUGAUAUUUAAUAAUGAAAGUCAUAAUAUAGCAGUUUCAAUAUAUAAUAAUCUUCUUCAAACAAAAAUAAUGGAAUUAAUUGGUUUAUUAGUAUACAGUAAUAGUGGAAUUCUUAGUUGGUUUAACUUUAGUACCUCCAACUACUGUCCAUGAAGAUGUCUUUGGCAAGAGCUCAUGUCUUACUUUACCCUCCAUGCUAGAAAACCUUUGGAUGAAAACCCAUCCACUUUCAAAAAAAAGUAAAAAUCCAGAUAAUUCAGCAGUAAAACGUGUGUGCAUACACACACACACAGUAGAAUUUUGAUGCGGGACACAACAUACCAAAAAUAUUUUUCUCUUUUUACCUGCCUUGCCUACUUUCUAAAAUAACUGACUGUAGCUCACACACACUUACUAUUCAGUGCAUGAAAACCAAGUGCAGAGCAUAUUAUUUUAAACUAUGCCAUGUUGCACAAGUGAAAAAGACUGAGUGUAUAUAUAUAUAUACACACAUAUAUAGAUAUAUAUGGCUUUUGUCAGUCACACAGCAAAGCACUUCCGUCAAUGAAAAAACUCCCACUUGAAUGCCUCCCCCUUUCCAGCCCCUCUGUCCCCACGGCAGAAGGGAGCUAUAAGAAGACACCAUUCCAUCACUUCCAGCAAUCGAAAAGCUUUUGAAGACAGAACUAUUGACGUCAUUGGACAGGCCUCACAGCUAGCCUCUAGAAAAAAGAAAAUAACAUUCUUACUCUGUAAACUGGACAACAUUUAUUUCUAAGAACAAAGCACACCCAUUGUGAGCAAGAGAAAGAAAGGAGUUACUUUCACAGUCUGAACCCCUGAAAGGAAAACACAGCUGCACCUGCAAGUUUUCUUUACUGCAGCACGAGCAUUGCCCUGCACUUUCUUAAGGACUGCCAAGAAGGAGAAGAUGCAAAAUAAAGUGAAUUCUUGUGCCCUUGUGCAUGAGGAAGAACAAUGCUGGGUUUUUUACUCCUUUUUUUUGUUUGGUUGGUUUUUUUUA
rnacentral:lncRNA from 1 species